rnacentral:rRNA from 1 species
GAUGAACGCUGGCGGCGUGCCUAAUACAUGCAAGUCGAGCGAACAGACGAGGAGCUUGCUCCUCUGACGUUAGCGGCGGACGGGUGAGUAACACGUGGAUAACCUACCUAUAAGACUGGGAUAACUUCGGGAAACCGGAGCUAAUACCGGAUAAUAUAUUGAACCGCAUGGUUCAAUAGUGAAAGACGGUUUUGCUGUCACUUAUAGAUGGAUCCGCGCCGCAUUAGCUAGUUGGUAAGGUAACGGCUUACCAAGGCGACGAUGCGUAGCCGACCUGAGAGGGUGUUCGCCCAACCGGAACCUGAGACCCGGCCAGGCCUCCUAGGGAGGGAGGAGGAGGGAAACCUUCCGCAAGGGGGGAAGGCUGAAGGAACCAACGCGGGGGAGGUGAUAAAGGCUUCCGAAUGGAAAAACGCUGUUAUAGGGAAAAAACAAAGGGGAAAGAAACAAGGACCGUCUGAAGGUAACCAAUCCAGAAGCCCCGGCCAACUUAGUG